CUUAAUCCUUUCUCAAAAUGGUAGGCUCUUUCAUCCAUGGCUGUUCUCUCUCUCUCUGCAGGUUACAGCAAUCAGAUGACACUCUUCUCCUUCACAAGCUGUGAGUAUUCUUAUCCUGGGAGCAAACAGAGAAACCACUUGUCCAUCCCAACCCUGUUCUCCUAGCAUCCUGGGAAAAAGAGGAUGGACCAAGGGUGUAAAAGAGAGAGGAAGGCACCAUGUCCCCUUCAUCCUGGUCUACUGAUAAGAAUCAGCACUCCAGCUCCAUCUCCAGAGUCCACAGCCUUCAGCCUUGAUACUUUCACCCUAAAUUUCACCAUCACAAACUUGAGAUAUACAACAGGAAUGAGCCAAAUGGGCUCCAGCAAAUUCAAUUCUGUAGACAAUGCCCUGGAGCGCCUGCUUGGUUCCUUGUUUGCCAAGACCACCCUUGGCUCUCAGUACGUUGGAUGCAAGCUGAUCUUGCUGAGGUGAGAUCCCUGGGAGUCAUUGGCCUCAUCAGGCAUGGUACCAAUUGGUGCCCUUCAGAAAGGAGAUGUCUCCAGCCUGCUAUAAUGUGGGUCCUGGCAGAUUUUCCAAUUCCUCAAUGAAUUUAUCCACAUCCUCUUGCCACAUAGUCUCAGGGAGGUGAAUUCAGACUUGGAAUUUUGGCAGUUCCCCACAAAUUCUCUAGAGUAGACCCAGUGAGACGCAACACUGUUGCCCCAUUUAACCAUCAUCCGUUUCAAUAUUUGCCUCAGGCUUCUGAAGGGUGGCUGCCCCCUGACUUCAGGAUUGUUAUCAGAUUUUUCAGGUCCCAUUUCAGGCUCCUGAUGGCCUUUUUUGCCUUCUUUCCCAGGUUGUUGAAGGAGGGGACAGCAACCUGAGUUAUUUUUGCUUGUGCUCAUCAGAUAGAUCCUGGCAGCCCUGAGCUAGACAGAGAAGAGCUUUACUGGAAGCUGAGCAGCCAGACCUGGAACUUCACAAGACUGGGGCCCUACAUCCUGGAUGAGGAAAGUCUCUACAUCAAUGGUGAGUGCAGUGUUUUGCACAUAGUAAGUGCCUGAUAAAUGCUUUUUGAUCCAUCCAUCCAUCCCAUCCAUCCACCCAUCCAUUCAUCCAUCCAAUGGUAAGUAGCCCAGGUAUUCAAAUGAACUUCUUUGUUGUAGUUCCUCCUUUCAAGGGAUU
rnacentral:lncRNA from 1 species